GUAGUCAUGGCCGAGUGGUUAAGGCGGCGGAUUAGAAAUCCGUUGGGGUAUCCCCACGCAGAUUCAUAUCUCCACACAGGUUCAAAUCCUGCCGACUACA